rnacentral:rRNA from 1 species
UACGUAGGGCGCAAGCGUUGUCCGGAAUUAUUGGGCGUAAAGGGCGCGUAGGUGGUUCUGUAUGUCUAUCGUGAAAGCAUACGGCUCAACUGUAUUUUGUCGAUAGAAACUGCAGGACUUGAGGCUGGGAGGGGCUGGUGGAAUUCCCUGUGUAGCGGUGAAAUGCGUAGAGAUGGGGGAGAACACUCGUGGCGAAGGCGGCCAGCUAGACCAGUUCUGACACUGAGGCGCGACAGCGUGGGGAGCAAACAGG